GAUCUGCACUUUCACCAUAACAUACCUUUAUUAUUGUCACACUACCUUCUGCGCAUGUGUGCUUAUAGUUGGUGCUAUUGUGGUCAUGUGAUUGAAGUUUGAACCUGGUCACACCAUUUUUCUUUAUGGCUUUACAGUGUAAGUAUGGCCACUCCAUUGGCAUUAAUGUGCACCAAAGAAGAACAAAGAGCAGUGAUCCAAUUUCUCUGGUCAGAAGGUGUGUCAGGUGUUGGAAUUCAAAGUCAG